rnacentral:lncRNA from 1 species
UUGUUUUGUUAUUGUCUUCAUGCUGAUUUCUGUCAUUGCAGCUAUAAAUAUAACACUGCAGGAAGAAUGCACCACCUCUGGAGGAUGUCUUCAAAAUCUCUUUGAGCAGAUAGAGAACAUUACAGCUCAAGUGCUUCCUUUAAAUAUUGUGACAGACAUUUUGACUAUGGCCUUCAGCGCUUCAGAGAAGAUUGUAGAGACCACAAACCCAACUGAACUAGCCUCCAAUGGAAACCGCAUGUUAAAAACCAGUGAGAAACUCAUUUCUACUUUAGUGAAGCCGACAGACACAAAUGACAGUGUCAGUUUUACUCUUCCUAGUGUAGGUAAGUGGAGACAAUUAUUAUUGAUGAUGAAAC